GAUGAACGCUAGCGGCAGGCCUAACACAUGCAAGUCGAGGGGCAUCGCGGUGCAGCAAUGCACUGGCGGCGACCGGCGUACGGGUGCGUAACGCGUAUGCAACCUGCCCCGCACCGGGGGAUAGCCCGCCGAAAGGCGGAUUAAUACCCCAUGGCCCCGGGGGCCCGCAUGGGCAUCCGGGUAAAGCUUUGGCGGUGCGGGAUGGGCAUGCGUGCCAUUAGCUGGCUGGUGGGGUAACGGCCCACCAGGGCAACGAUGGCUAGGGGGUCUGAGAGGAUGGUCCCCCACACUGGUACUGAGACACGGACCAGACUCCUACGGGAGGCAGCAGUGAGGAAUAUUGGUCAAUGGGCGGAAGCCUGAACCAGCCAUGCCGCGUGCGGGAUGAAGGCCCUACGGGUUGUAAACCGCUUUUCCCCGGGAAGAACUAAGCCCCCGCGGGGGUGAGUGCCGGUACCGGGGGAAUAAGGAUCGGCUAACUCCGUG
rnacentral:rRNA from 1 species